GUUAAAAUUUCUAGAUGAUAUCCAAACAUUUGCACAAAUAACUUGAGAUAUUUGUAUUAGAACAUGCACAUUUGUUCAGUAAGUGGUGCAAGAGCAGCAUGACCAUUCAAGACUGACAAUGCAGUCCAGCUCUGACUUUGUUAUCAGACAUCACACAAUCUGGAGCUCAGAUGAAGUGCAGACGCUGCUGCAUGAGCACCGAACUGCGGAAGGUCUCAGCUCGUCAGUUGGACUCCAGUAGGUCUGCCUCCUGGCCAAAGGGAUGCCGACUCGAUCGUGUUCAAAGUGUCUUGAGUUGGAGCGUUAAAAACCAGAAGGGACUAUCCUUGUCGAGGAUAUCUGCUGUCAUGUUAGCGGCGCAACAGUCUGAGCCAAAGGACCAACAGUUGGACAGAAGACAGAGUUCUGCUGCAGAGGAGCAUCUCAGUUGACUUUGGCUGAAGCAGCACGGCGGUGUGGAGGAGGACAGGAAGAAGACGGACCACAUUAGUGAGUGAGUAUUUCAGGAACAGUAGAUCAUCCCAUUUCUCAGGCUCUCAUUAGCCUCCUCCAUUACAUCACUGAAAAAGAGGUUAAAGACAUGAGGGGGAGGGGGGGCAGCUCGUAAAACACUGAGCACACAGUAAACAUGUCUGCCCUUAAGCAUGACAAUACCCCUACAGCGAGCGCUGCCUGACAUUAGCCAGAUAACCCCCCUCCCAUCUUCUGGCCCACGUGGUAGUUCCCAUCCUACAACGAGGCUUUCUCUGGAGACACCAGGGGAAUAGAUUAGUGCUCCUCUAACAUGGUAAGCUGUGUUUUGGUACGUGAAGCCACUUUGAGGCCAGACAAUGUUAAAAUCGUCGCUCACUCAGUCAUUCACAAGUGCUCGAGGACGUGCUGUGGUUUACCUCAGCUCACACACGAGCUCCUGUGGGAUUCCUGAGAGAAGAUGCGUAUGCUGGUGGGAACCACCUUCAGCAGCUCAGAGACUGGUUGUAGGACUUUAGUGUAGCCGGUGGCCACAAAAACUCAGGGUGACAGCAGUUGUUGGAUUGUAAACAUCACAAAGGUCGUGUUGGACUCAUGAGUUAGCUUGUGUAAGUGUGAAGAGCUGUCAUCAUAUAUAACUGACAAACUUCAGUGUAAUUACAAAGAGCACCAGGGUAUUAUGACACUUGUCUGUUAGCAGCCAUGUAGAUGCACCUCUGCAGGAAUGGUCUGGUGAUGUCACCAACACCACGACAGCUGUAGGGUCAAAUGUGAGACUACAAGGAACAGAACGGUAGCAACAUGAAUGUCUGCAAAUGCACAAAAUAAAUAAAUCUAGAACACAAACUCUUGACGUACACAUGAAUUCAGUCAGACGUUAUUAGCCAUUUUCUUGACUGAGUUUACUGUAGGGAUAUUCAAUAAACAGUCCAAACUGAUACUUAACAUGUUUAACAUGAGGUAUCUGAACCAUAACAGAGGGAUUUACAUGUCAAUGGUGGAAACAAAACCCAAUGCACACUGCUGCCAACUAGCAGUCGGCGUUUGAAUUGCACCAAAAGAAAAGAAAAUACACAAAUGUUAGCAUGUAAGUUCUUCCAAAAAUUAGAUAUAUGGCUUUCGAAUAUCGCAGGAAAACUUAUCACGAUAUAUUGCCAUAUCGAUGUUUUCUCACAUCCCUAGGUGACGACAUGCAGCCUUUCAUGUCAGUAUUCUUCUGGUUAGCUUAUAGCAACACAAUAGUAAACAUACGCUGGAAGGAGGGAGUACGGUCAGAAUAUGAACAAUGACCGAAGGAAUUAAGAACAACGUGGCAGCACAGCUUAUCUGGUGCAUACAGUACUGUCUGAUGGUAUUAUCAGAGGUCCACUUUUGCGGUCUCAUUACUUCCUGAAGGUGAGUGUCCAACCGGUCCCAGCUAGACGGAGCCGUUUACAUGCUGAUGAAGUCUGAUUCCAACCACGUUAUCUGGGUACUUCAGCUUGAUCUGAACCAGUUCGACUUCAGCCAGUCUAACGUGUUUACAUGCAUUUAAAAAAAAAACAACGCGAGUCUGUUUAAGGCGAUUCUUGGUUUACUGUAGCCCACACAAUAUCAUUUAUCUGUGGAGGAAAUAUAUUUAAUGAUCCUGGGCCUGGUACAUUACAAAGGUGUAUAAAAAGUGUUUUCUUCCACUUGCAUCCUACAAGUACCAACGGGUGUCCAUCUGACUUCUGCAGCUCAGGAGCUCAGAGCGAGAGCUGACCACAUGGACUGAUCCUGUCAGCUUUGGACCAAUCACUCUGGAGGUAAUAGUCUAACUAUGUGGACCUCAGAGAUAAAAGCUACUCUGACACAGAUGACUGAAAACAACCUAACGUGUCAAAUAAGAAGCAGCACGAGCAACAGCUGUAGCCAGAGUUGGAUCUUUCUGAUGUGCAACACUACUGAUGAGAUAAGAGUGUAAACAUCAGUUUGGAUUUAUUUUAGCAUGAAUCUCUGUUUCAUGUGAGAACCUACAACAGUAGCAGGCGGGCUCUUCUCACUGAAACCCUGACCUGUGACAGGUAAACACAGAUAUGUAGACACGUAACACACACAUUUACUUACACACACGGUCACCAGCUGUAUAUUUCAGAGACGUGAGAUGUGGUCAUACGUAGAAGAAUGUCAGAGGAGCUGACAGUGCCCUGAGAAAUGUAGUUAUACGGUGGAAGAGGGAUCAAGUUCUUAACCCCUACGCUGACCUCCUGGUAAAGACAACAAGCAGCUCCUGAUCUCUGUGGCAUGCCGCCUCUAGACCCCGGUGUGUCUUUGUGGAUGGGUGUGUGGCUUCCCCAGCUUCAGUGCUGUGUGUGCUAGGGUUGUCACGGUAUGAAAAUUUAACCUCACGGUUAUUGUGACCAAAAUUAUCACGGUUUUCGGUAUUAUCGCGGUAUUUUUUUAACGGUGUUGCAUAUGUUCAGAAAGCAUUGAUAGUCCUGUUCUACACAAACUGAAAUAGUUUUGAAAAGGUUUAACAAUGUUUAUUAAACCUAGAAUAACACAAAGCCUUAGCAAAAGUGCAACUUUUCACAAGUAAAGGAACAAAUAGCUUAUUUUUCUGGAACAUGUUACAGUAGUCAGUGCAGGUUUAAAUGAUACAAAUCCAAACAUUCAAAACAUAAACAAUAUGUAAACAAAUCAAAGAAACACCACUUGUUUUCUCAUAUACUUGUUUUCUUCAUUAUCAAAAUGAAAAUCUAAAACUCCAGUCCACACUUGACUUGAGCACUGUACAAGUCAACCUUAAAAAAUAUGUAUUUAAAAUAAAUAGCCACUUUAAACAAAUUACUAAAAUAACUACUACACUAUGUAAUCAAAUCCAAAUGUUCAAGUAUAAAUGGCAUUGAAUAAGUAAACAAAUCAAUGACAAGGAACUAAUUGUAUAUUUCUCUUCUUCAUCAACAAAGAAGAUGCUUCAUCCAGCAACAGGGUGUCCGUGACACGGUUUAAAUGCUGGCAGAGGACGCUGCGGCUGCAGUAUAUAGUGACUCGUUGUAUUCUCCCUCAACCAAAAGUCCUCACGUCAUGCAUUUCAGCUAAAAUGCUCAUGUUAACUUACCUUGCACUGGCUGUAGAGACAUGGGUGAUGGUCACGCAGAUGUGCCAUUAGAUUCGAAGUGUUGCUGCCUUUUGCAGACACUUGUUUCCUGCACGUUCUGCAAACGGGAUAGCAGUCUUCUACUAACUGUCCCUCAGCAUUUUUCAGAAAUCCAAAAUAUGCCCAUACUUCCGAUUUAGUCUUCUUUGAGGGCUGAUGGAUGUCCUGGGCGCUGCCGUCUCCUCCUUCGGCCAUUAUUUCAGCUUCAAAGUUUUGGUGCCGUUGUCGGUACAGGAUCUGCUCGGGUGCAAGAUCGGCUCGGGGUCCUUCGACUGCCGAUGACGUCAAAGUACGGCAAACCCACUCGGACAAAAUAAACUAUACAUCUAUACUGUUGGAAAGAAUUUAGCAGUUUCGUUAUUAAAAUAAUGUUUCUUAAGACGUAAGUUUGUGUUUAUAAUGGUAUUUGUAAAAUAAAACACUAUAUUUUAUUCAUAAUGUUGAACUCCUCUUUGAGCACAUCCCUUGAAGAAUCAUAGGUAUUAGCAACACCUGUGAAAUUGUAUUUGCAGGAAAGAAGUGUGUCCCGUUUAUUGAAGUACUUUGUGUUUAGAGUUUUUGACGUCUUGUCCAUGCGUAGUUCAGUUAUGCUCAUAGCUGCUAGCCAAAACUCUGGAGUUAAAAGUUUUCUGGCUAUACUAAAAUACCUGUCUGUACUUAUUUAAUUGAUGGUAGUUUUACUUUCUAUUAGACUCCAAAUGUAGUCAUUUGGCACAUUUCUAAUUCAUAAUUUGUAAUAAUGUAAUCGGCGAUAUUAGCAUUAGCAUUCCUAUGGGUUUUUCCAUGUAUAUUAGCAUUGCGCUAACCACUCGCUGCCAAAUUGCAGCCUUUGCGAUUAGAAAAUCUCCUUUUGUCACAUCGCAAUUUAAUUGCACAUGCAGUUAAUCGUUCAGCCCUAAUAUACAUGCAGCUCUAUGCUAAAAGUGUAUUUUCAAAGAGGUAAUGAUGGAUUUCUUUGUAAAAGUUGUCCAUCUUUCCAACAGAAAGAUUUGCCUGGACCAACGUAACGUGAUUGCGUAAUUCCGUAAGGUUCAUGUUCAGCCAAUCAACUACUUAGACGUCAUCGGCAGUCGACGGGCCCCGAGCCAAUUUUGCACCCGAGCAGAUCUUGUACCGACACCGUUGCAAACUAAAAAGUGUGUGUGCGUGCCGCGGGAACUUCAGCUGAAGCGACGGUGGCUGGUAAGGGUCACCGCGCUGAAACCGCAGCCACGGUAAACCCACCGAGAUAAUUUAGUUUUUUAAAAACUGGACAGUUAUUUUUAUUGUCAACUUUUUUACCGGGGUUUACCGCUAUACCGGUUACCGUGACAACCCUAGUGUGUGCUGUAUAGGUAGACACUCUCUAAAAAACAGCGAUGAAUUAUGACCUUCCCACCAGCAGAACGAAUGAACCAGGCUGCAGCCUGAUGCAGUUUUUCUAUCGUCACCAAUAUUUUUUAUUUUAUUUCAUCAUCAGCCACGCAACUCUCCUCGCAACAACAAAAACAAGCUGCCGCCUCACGCAGCAGUGCAGUCCUUUACAGCGAGAGUGCUUUAAUGGCCUCUCCAGAUUGAGCCCUAAUUAGCUGUUAAUCAUUUAAGGCUCAUAACCAGAGCGGAGACAGCCGGCAUGUGUGUGUUUGUUAGCAAAGCGCGCAUUAGAGUGUGUUGGCGCGCCCCGUCCUGCUGUCUGUCCUCGUGUUGUGAAGCCAUUAGGAGCAGAAUUGCUAAAGAGAGCCAAACAGCCCAUUAACUCCUCCACUCUGCCUCUCUUCUCUCCACCGGGCUCAUCUCUCUCCCCAACAGCGCCACAGUUGCCAGCUGACACCCUCUAAUGUCAGCUAUCUGUCAUGACCACGGACCUGUCCACCCACACAACCCUCCCAACACUCGUCCUCGGCCAGGGCCGUCUGCAUUCUGUGGUAAAAAGGUUAAAAUACCAGGAUAAAGUCUAGUGUGACAGACUGCUUCUGAUGGGACACACAACCAUCUGUGGGCACUAGUGUUACAUGAAUGAGCGAUUUGCGUGACUUUACUAUUUUAUAAGUUUUACGGGGCUAGUGCAUCGGUGAUCUGUGUGAUGGAGUAUUUAAUAUUCAGUAAUGAAGCCUACUGCCGUUUAGAGCUGGUUUCUGAUCAGCUACGCCUGCUUUGGCUGCAUGUUAGAUCAAUAGAUCAGCCGACUAAAUGUCAAGAACGAAGUAGCCAAUGGGAAUUCUUCAGCAUACCAAACUUCAAGUAGACCAGGGUGGUCACUCCUGGUCCUCUAGGGCCACUAUCCAGCAUGUUUUAGUUGUUUUUCUGCUCCAACACACCUGAUUCCUGGAUAAAUCACCUGUUCAGCAGCUCAUCAGGCUCUGCAACAUCCUGUUAAUCACCAGCAGAUUCAAACCAGGUGUGUUUAAGCAGCGAAACAACUAAAACCUGCUGGAUAGCAGCCCUCGAGGACCAGGACUGCCCACCCCUGGUGUAUCUGAAUCAGUUCAAGGUUUACUGAACAUGAGUAACGCGUGUUAUUUUUGAAAGAAAAUAGACGGAUUAACGUUUGCAUCUGAAAAAGCCACACGGAUCUACCUCAGAGUGAAUAAGUCUUCAUGGAAUUACCCGUCGUGGCUCGCCAACGCAGAAGGCUGUGUAGUUACUGCCAUCAGCAGACAGUUGAGCACGUCUCGGCUAGUAGAAGCUAACAGUUAGCACUAGUAGAAGCUAACAGUUAGCACUAGUAGAAGCUAACAGUUAGCACUAGCACCUCCACAACAUGGCAGAACACAUUUAAGCUCGUAAUACUUGUAGAGAUGGAACAUCAACGUUGCAUUUUUUACCCCAGAAACAAAGAAUGAACGAACGGAGGCUGCCAGUUAGCCAAUCAGUGGUGAGUGUUUUGCACAUCAUGAAUAUUAAUGAGCAAAACUCCAAAUCCUGUUUUAAGUCUGUUUGACUCCUUGUACAUAUUACAUAUGAGAACAGUCUAAAUGUUUUUAUCUUGUUUGUUUUUAUCGUAUCUAAUAAGUUUGCUCUUUGGUGCAAAGCUGCUCAUGUCUACUGCUGCCUCUUGGUCAGAUCGUAUUUAUAAAUAUAAAACAUGUCAUUUACAACAUGAAUUUGUUUCACUGCAGCUAAUUGUUCACAUUUUAAAUUCUCCACAAAUAAGGACUAAUUAUUUAUUCAUCUUAGCAUGAAAACAAAACAAAAACCUGUUUAGUCCAUAGAAGCAGCAUGCUUCCCAAUCACACACUGGCCCACAACACUGACAGCCAGAAACUGAGAGGCAGUGUGUGAUUGAUGACAGAGGCAUGGUCAUAUCAGCAGGCUGGUUAGCAGAACCCAACAGAGGACCGAGCAGGUCACAGAGCACACCCAGCCUCAUCAGCACUCAUUAGAAAUGUGGGCGCACAUCACACCCCAAACUGCAAAUCCUGCCACCCCAAAAACCCAACCAGGAAAACACGGUCUCUAACAUGGAAGCUGCAAUAACUUUGCUGUUUAUUCAGUUGUAACUGUACUCUGUUUAUGCACACCGGUGGGGUCAAAUAAAAGCUUCAAAUGCUGAUAAAAGCAACUUUAACCCAAAUGUAGCGUCCAGCAAUGGUCAGUUUAGGCACGGUUUGACCUUUCACCAUCGAUUCAACAUCUGGUCAGAAAGUGUUCCCUUUAAAUGAGUCUGACUUCACACCAGCUGGGAUUCACGGACGCUGCUAGUCUGAAUGAUAAACAAUAACUUUCUUUCCCCAAGGUCUCAUCUGUCUGCCUCCAGAAGGAAGAACUCCAGUUCGAAUUUAUUAUUAAAUUCAAGAAUGAUUUAAUAAAUCAAUAUGAACUCCUUCUAUGACUUAUAAUCUAGAUAAUCAUUAAAUAAACAUUUGUUUGUUACUACUUAUAAUAAUUAUGGUAUAAUGAAAUGCUUCAUUAAUCUGUGCACACUGAAUGGAUGUUAUAUGAUGUUGUCUACUAGGACCUGCCAUGUGUUCACCAUGUUUCGACGACAAGGUCCCACACCUGCAUCCUCACAUAACACGUACGGCUAAGUUAAACCCGGACACAUCUCUCAAACUUGUCAGCCUCUGAUUGGCUGUCCAAAUCAUAACAGCUAAGCUAGAACAGUCUGAGAGAUUCGACAGUUCUAGAGAAUCGCUCAGACCGGCCAUCUGUAGCCAAACCUCUUUAACCAUCAACGAUUCUGACACGUCGUCAAAACCUGUUUGCACCUGAUGAGCGAACGGUUCCUGCAGAACAAGCUGAUAAUGUUUAGACUCCUUAAGAGUCCCAGAUGCUCGGUUCCAUCCGUCUGUCGUGACCCGAGACAUCUCUGGAUUGAAAGCAUCGGUACCACGGUAUUCUACAGCCCUCCGGUGCCAGCGGUCAUCCGACCUCUCUGACUGUCAGAUCCACCAGAGGGUCUCUGAAUACGGGUGAUGUAGACACACAGAUCGCGUCUGAUGUGCUUCUGAUGAUAACAACUUUAUAGCUCAGAGCUAACCAGAACUCAGCUUAUUUUGAUAAGGAAGCUCUGAAUGAUAUCGCAUACACACAAAGGUUCCUUCAGCACGUUUAGAUACAUCCACUCACAGUAAAUGCUUAAUUCAUUAGUCAUGUUUUAAAUUGUUUGUAAAAUAAAUUCUUUCUUUUAUAAACUUGACUCUUUCUUGAAGUAACACAAAGUGUGGUUCAUCACUGAAAAAGCAAAGAACCUAGAUCUUCUGAAUUAAAUCCUAGAAUCUUCUGAAUAAUUACAAUAAAGUCCUCGCAGGUUAAUAUUUUAUAUUUAUAUUGUUACAUCUUCGUGGUCAUAACAAAUGAAACCAUCAAUUUGCCUCCGCUACACAAACAUAACUAGGCUCUGGCCUUUUGACCUACAGAAGUAGCACAGCACUUCCAAGAGUUGCCUCAGUUCCCUUGCCUCGAAACCGGACAACGUUACACACACACACACACACAUACACACACACUGAAUAAUUCUACUUUGGACUCAGCGGACAGGAGACAGCAAUCUGAGCAGAGACGAGGACCUGGACAGGAAUGUUGAGCACUGUUGGAUCACUUUGCCAACUAAGCAACUGGAGAGUCAGGUAACAGGAAGGGCUGAUACCAUCAAAAAGUCACCGUCGCUCCAGAUUAGUUCAACGUGAAGGAGAAAGACUUUGGCCUGAGGUGCCCCUACCUG